rnacentral:rRNA from 1 species
UACGAAGGGGGCUAGCGUUGCUCGGAAUCACUGGGCGUAAAGCGCACGUAGGCGGACUCUUAAGUCGGUGGUGAAAUCCUGGAGCUCAACUCCAGAACUGCCUUCGAUACUGAGAGUCUCGAGUCCGAGAGAGGUGAGUGGAACUGCGAGUGUAGAGGUGAAUUCGUAGAUAUUCGCAAGAACACCAGUGGCGAAGGCGGCUCACUGGCUCGGUACUGACGCUGAGGAGCGAAAAGCGUGGGUAGCAACAGG